rnacentral:tRNA from 1 species
GGCAAGAUGGCCGAGCGGUCUAAGGCGCUAGCUUCAGGAUUGAAUAAUUUCUCGUGUAGGAAAUUCGAUGUAUGAACUUGCUAGUGUGGAAACACGCGUGGGUUCGAAUCCCACUCUUGUCA